rnacentral:rRNA from 1 species
AUGUAUCCAAUCAAUGUGGGGCAAGAUAAACUGACUCAACUGGCUGCUAUUUUGGGUUGCACUAUGGGCUCUUUUCCUUUUCCCUAUUUGGGCCUACCCCUAGGCACAAAGAAGCCAAAAGUGGAUGAUUUCUUCCCCAUGAUGCAGAGAAUUGAAAGAAGACUCACUGGUUGCUCUACCUUGCUUUCAACAGGAGAAAAGCUUUCUCUAAUUAAGAGUGUUUUCACCAGCCUGCCAACCUUCUUCAUGUGCUCUUUACAUCUACCUGUCACAGUGAUGGACCAAGUAUAUUCUUACAUCAGACAUUGUUUUUGGAGGAAAUAUGGUCAGGAAGGUACUGGUCCUGCACUCAUUGCUUGGACCACAGUCUGCAAGCCAAAAGAACAAGGUGGAUUGGGGGUCCUGGAUAUAGCUACCCACAACAAAGCUCUCCUUCUAAAAAACCUUCACAAAUUCAUGAAUAAGGCUGCUCUUCCUUGGGUCAACUUGAUUUGGGACACCUACUAUGAGCACAGAGCCCCAACCAACAAGCCUGUUGGCUCUUUUUGGUGGAAAUCCAUCAUUAAACUCCUCCCUACUUACAAAGACAUGGCCCUCUGCACUGUGGGACAAGGACACUCAGUAAUGUUUUGGCAUGAUAGAUGGGGCCCUGUUGCCCUCAAAUUUCAAUUCCCUCACUUGUUCUCCUUUGCCAAAGAUGAUUUACUGUCCAUCAAAGAAGCCUCAGAAUCAAGCUCCUUCCAAGAACUCUUUCAUCUGCCGCUAUCCAAUCUGGCUUUUGCACAAUUUCACCAAGCAAGAGCCUGUCUAGAACAAUCCAAUCUCCGAGAGAAUGCUGAUCAGUGGAAAUACAUUUGGAACUCGGCUUCUUUCUCUCCUUCAAAAGCUUAUAACUUUCUCAUUCAAGGAGAGGAGGCUCACCCAGUCUUCAGGAAGAUAUGGUCUGCUGCUGUCAUGCUAAGAUAUAAAAUCUUCUUCUGGUUGUUACUGCACGAUCGAGUAAACACAAGAGGGCUAAUUCACAGAAAAUCUUUCCAUCUCCCUUCCUAUAAGUGUGAGCUCUAUACUGAUCAAGUGGAAGAAACUGCAAUGCACCUUUUUUUGGGACUGUCCCUUUGCAUUGCGAUGCUGGGACAUGAUUAUCCCACUCAAACGCAGAGACACGAGUGUGCUCAAUGA